rnacentral:rRNA from 1 species
AGAGUUUGAUCAUGGCUCAGAAUGAACGCUGGCGGCAUGGAUAGGCAUGCAAGUCGAACGAGAAAGCGGCCUCGGCCGCGAGUAAAGUGGCGAAAGGGUGAGUAACACGUGGGGAACCUGCCCCGGGGACCGGAACAAGCCUGUGAAAACGGGUCUGAGACCGGAUGUCGCCGCGGUCCGCAUGGACCGCAGGCGAAAGAUUCAUCGCCCCGGGAUGGCCCCGCGCCCCAUUAGCUAGUUGGCGGGGUGACGGCCCACCAAGGCUGCGACGGGUAGGUGGUCUGAGAGGAUGGUCACCCACACUGGGACUGAGACACUGCCCAGACUCCUACGGGAGGCUGCAGUCGAGAAUCUUCCGCAAUGGGGCCGCAAGCCUGACGGAGCGAUGCCGCGUGGGGGAAGGAGGCCCUCGGGUCGUAAACCCCUGUCGGACGGGACGAAGACGAUGACGGUACCGUCCAAGGAAGCCACGGCUAACCACGUGCCAGCCGCGGC